rnacentral:tRNA from 1 species
GGUGGUUAAAUGUUGGGCUGCUAACCUAAAGGUCGGUGGUUGGAACCCACCAGCCACUC